CCUCGGAGGAGUGAGUCUGUCUCAGUCUGCACAGAUUAACUCAGUGUUCAGCUCAAAGCUUUACUUUUAAUUCAACGACUAAAUCAUGUUUAUUGUCUUUUUUCAGACCCAGCGGGUUCAGAGUCAUUCUACCCGACUCAGCCAAUCAAUGAUCGGAACUCCAUCCACCCAGCGGCCCACCUGCUGUCCCCUUUCUCUGACGCCGGAACGCAGAGACACUCGACCUACACGGCAACAGAAACCGACAGCAACCCCAGUUAUGAGAAUCCAGUGGUUGUUGAGAGCGACAAUGACGACCCCGGAUACAUAAUCGUGUUACCUGAAGGUGCAACACCUGUGACCAAUCAGAGCCGAGCCUCGACACCCAGUUCAGACGUUCUACACGAUUACGAGAACGUCCCCGAGAAGAAAACUGAUUCAAGAGGAGAAUACCUGAACGUGGAGAACUUUCACAGUGACGCUUGGUCUCCGUCCCUGAGUCGUCCUCUGUUUGGAUGUGAAUCAUCAGCUCAGAGCAAAAGCAGCGAUGAUGACGAAGAUGACGAUGACGAUGGAGAUAGUGACAGUGAGGGGAACUACGUCAAUGUGAAUGAAGCACCGCUGUGAGCUUCGACCUUUUUCUUCCUCCACCUUUAAGUGCUGAUGGUGUUUCUCACAGGGACUCCACCCGGAGAACAGAAACUGUUCACGUGUCUCACUGAGGCACUUUGUCUUCUUGCUUUCUGGUCUGUGGUUUCACUGUCAGCACGUUACAGAUCAUCCCCACGGUGAACGCUGUAAAGUCCUGAGAGCAGAGCUGCUUCAAAUCUGAUCAUUAGAGAGACGCCUACACCAAUCAUGAGCAGACGCCUAGUUAACUAGUGUUUAAGAAAAACACUGACUAACUAGUUAACUAGUGUUUAAGAACAACACUGACUAACUAGUCAACUAGUGUUUAAAAAAAACACUGACUAACUAGUUAACUAGUGUUUAAGCAAAACACUGACUAACUAGUUAUUCAUCAAGUUUUUCAGUUUUGCUCGUGAUUCGAUGCAGAUCAGUUAAAUUAGUCUUGAACCCUGUGAGGUCUCGCUGUGUUAAAUCCAUUUCCUGACAGUCAGCUUCACCUUCCAUCCAAUAAAACAUUUGGACCUUGAGGUCUGCAUUGUUAACCCUUUCCUCCACGUCAUGACAGGUGUAGGUGGUGUUUGUUUGUUUGUUUGUUUGAGCUUUACUUUGAUUUUACUGACAACUCCUGAGAAUGUCUUAACAGUGUAUUUAUGUGUUGUUACCAUGGUUACUUAGAAUUUGUUUUAACUACAAUCCAAUUAAACUUUAACAAAGCUUUAAA